GAUUAAGGUGAUGAUUAGGUAAUUUCUCUAUUGGUUUGAUCGUCGAAAUGAUGGCUUAAAUAUCUUUUUUAUGCUGAUUAUUC